GAAGAUGGUAACCUUGGGUUUGGCUCUUGUCUAUGUUCCUUGGAACAGGACGUCAUAGAGGGUGAGAAUCCCGUCUGAUGAGAUGCCCAUUCCUAUGUAAGGUGCUAUCGAAGAGUCGAGUUGUUUGGGAAUGCAGCUCUAAGUGGGUGGUAAAUUCCAUCUAAAGCUAAAUAUUGGCGAGAGACCGAUAGCGAACAAGUACAGUGAUGGAAAGAUGAAAAGAACUUUGAAAAGAGAGUGAAAAAGUACGUGAAAUUGUUGAAAGGGAAGGGCAUUAGAUCAGACUUGGUGUUUUACGAUUAUCUUCUCUUCUUGAGUUGUGCACUCGUAUUUCACUGGGCCAGCAUCGAUUCGGAUGGCAAGAUAAUGGCAGUUGAAUGUGGCUUCACUUCGGUGGAGUGUUAUAGCUUCUGCUGAUAUUGCCUGUCUGGAUCGAGGGCUGCGUCUUUUGACUAGGAUGCUGGCGUAAUGAUCUAAUGCCGCCCGUCUUGAACCACGGA
rnacentral:rRNA from 1 species